UCCAUAUUUCCAGGUCUGAACCUGCUGAGAAGGCCCUGGAUUGGAUUGGGGGGGACUAAGACGAGCACCGCCACGACUUUUCCUACAUAGAUUACAAUCUUUAAAGCCACUUUUAUAUCCAAAAGUGAAUAAAUAAAGCAGGACAAGGCCUCACUCUCUCUCAGACAAUGUUAAACAGCAACAUGGUGUGUGUGUGUGUAAACACUUCAGGGUUGGAUAGAAGUCUAAAUAAUGCCGCAGUAUCAAAAAUAUUGAUGUCCAGAACCCCAAUAAAAUGUAUUCACGCGUCAGGUUUUAAUACAUAAACCGUUUUUCCGCCACUUCACAGUUCAGACCGGAGACGGUGAGCACGCGCACGGGCGGCAACAUCACAAGACACGGGCCUCUGAGCGCGUCUUCCCCCCGACAGCCCACUGACUAGCAGGGACACAGUGUAAAAUGGCCGCCUUUCCUGCACUUACCAUUCAUACUUCAAAUAGGGGAGCAGGGUGGAGCCUUUGAUCCAAAAAAUACUUCAAUUCCACGAUUUGCACACAGAUUUGAAGAUAUUGCUCUGUUUUUUGUUAAUUAAACACAUAUUUUAUUAAACUGAAUCGAAACCUGUUAGGAACUGUUAUAUCGGGAAGAGGAUUGACAACAUAAUCCCCCCCCUACAAACACACACUGGAAUGGACCUAUUGGUCACGUGUUUAGUACAAUCAAUAAAACUGAAAGAAGGCCCAUGAGGGUCAGUGACAUGUGAGGGACAGUACAGGGAAAUCUUCAUGGAUGCAUUUGAGAUGGAUAAACUCUGAGUGUAUAAAUCAGCAGGAAUGAUAGGGAUGUUGCAACACAAACAAAUUCAACACGUUUAACUGUUUAUUUAUAUAAGGACUUGUUUAUUUACUGGUGUGUUUUUUUUUAAAGCAGUAUAAAUCACAAUAAAUGCUUCAUCUCUGAUGUUCUUGCAAGCA